UACGGAGGGUGCGAGCGUUGUCCGGAAUCAUUGGGCGUAAAGGGCGCGUAGGUGGCCCGGUCAGUCUUUGGUGAAAGCGCGGGGCUCAACCCUGCGUCGGCCAGGGAUACUGCCGCGGCUCGAGCACUGUAGAGGCAGGCGGGAUUCCGGGUGUAGCGGUGGAAUGCGUAGAGAUCCGGAAGAACACCGGUGGCGAAGGCGGCCUGCUGGGCAGUUUAGCUGACACUGAGGCGCGACAGCGUGGGGAGCAAACAGG
rnacentral:rRNA from 1 species